GGAAAGGGUUGGGUCGCUGGUGCGCCCACUAGCCUCCGAAGCUAUGUUAAGAGUUUUGAAAACUUUUUGGUAUGUUCGAUUCGUACACCUUUCC
rnacentral:tRNA from 1 species